AACAGGAUCACUUGAGGAACUACCAAGAGCCAGGGGGCUUCAAUGAGUCAGAGGUUAAAGGGAGAGAGAAAGAAGAGGUGUGGUUGCAGAUGGCAUUCCUGAAUUGGUGGCUGCUAAAGAGGGUGGAAACACAGGAGGCCGGCCAUUCCAGAGGACAGGAUGCACAGAUACUUUGGAUUUCCGAUUUCAAAGCCUCCAUAUUUAACCACAAAACAGAUCCAGGAAAGAAAGCUUCUGCAUCCGCCCAUCUUCAGAAAGACCAGAAGAGAUAUGUGCCUUUGUAGGCACAUACACUUGACUUGCAUAUCAGUGUUUGGGGCCCUUGAGAAAAGAUGUUUGGGUGGGCAUGGUGGUGCAGGCUGUAUUCCUACCAUUUGGGAUGAUGAGGCAGAUGAGGCAGGGAGAUUGUAAACUCUGUAUCUAGGAUCCAUCCCCAAAGAAAAGUGAGCAUGAUGGUCUCAGAGCACUUGCUACUCUGAACUAGCUGUAGUGGAACAGUGGCUGAAUAUGCAUUUAUUGUUCAAUAAAAUGUGCAUGUUCAGUGUUUUAUAGAUAGCUCAUGAGAGCCUUGAAAUAUUCUUAUGAAUUCAGCUUGGUGAUUCAUCAUUUUGCCUGAGUCAAGAGAGAUGCAGGCUGAGUACCUCUCCCUCACCCAGCUCUAGCAACUGUGUGGGGAUACCCAUACAGGCCUGUGCCUCUAGGGGACUUGCCUUUCCUGGAUCCGUCUCUGCUUCCCAGUGCCACUCCGUUCUGCUUGCAGUGAAGCCAACCCAGAUUCUCCCUGUCCUUCCUCUGCCCAUGCUGUCUUCCUAACCUUGUCAGUUAACCCAAAUACAACUUGGGCCCUAAGAAGCAGAGGUGCCAAAGAAAAUGAGUCCUGAAUCACAAAGGCUUUUAAGCUACUUAUGUAGUUUGAACUGCUUAUAAAUCUGUGCUUAGUCAUUCAAAAUGUCACCUGAUUAACACAUACUUAAGGCUCAGCAGAGGCUUAACCACCUUUUUCUCCAUGGCUGCUACUCUCUACUCCUAAGACAGAAACAGAGCUCCA